rnacentral:rRNA from 1 species
GACGAACGCUGGCGGCGUGCUUAACACAUGCAAGUCGAACGGAAAGGCCUCUUUCGGGGGGUACUCGAGUGGCGAACGGGUGAGUAACACGUGAGUAACCUGCCCUUGACUUUGGGAUAACUUCAGGAAACUGGGGCUAAUACCGGAUAGGAGCUCCUGCUGCAUGGUGGGGGUUGGAAAGUUUCGGCGGUUGGGGAUGGACUCGCGGCUUAUCAGCUUGUUGGUGGGGUAGUGGCUUACCAAGGCUUUGACGGGUAGCCGGCCUGAGAGGGUGACCGGCCACAUUGGGACUGAGAUACGGCCCAGACUCCUACGGGAGGCAGCAGUGGGGAAUAUUGCACAAUGGGUGGAAGCCUGAUGCAGCAACGCCGGGUGCGGGAUGACGGCCUUCGGGUUGUAAACCGCUUUCGCUCAUGACGAAGCUUUGCGUGACGGUAGUGGGUAAAGAAGCACCGGCUAACUACGUG